UUUGUGCAGAUAAACAAAUAUAUUGUGCUUUCCGAUGCAGUCCUACAAAAUUGACAGCAGAUGGUAGAGGAUGCCUAUUACAUCAUAUGGAAUAGUCUGCCACCGGAUGGUAGAGGAGGAAUGCUUUUGGUAAAGCGUCUGCUUCUUUAGGACAGUUUGCUAUCGAUGUUCACCGUGGUCCCAUUGGAUUUCACAGUAAUUAGCAAGACAAAUACCCAUGAGACCUGUUCAAUAGGGGAUGAUUGGAAUCAAGCACCUGGCAAGACCAACCAUUUAAGACCAAUAGCUUGACAAGAAAAACGGGCGGUUGGUGAAAGAUGAAGCUGAAGUCAGUUUACCUCGGACAAUCACUGUGGUUCGGCAAUGAAAUGCCACCAUCUGUGAAGUAUUUGUAAGAUCAGUCACUUGUUUAAUCUGGUGGCAUGACCUCGACCUCUUGUUCAAUACUUCGUCAAAAAUUACCCUGAAAUCAGGUGUACAUUUAACAGCUUGUACACAUUUCUAAGUCAUGUAUAUCAGGUGAAGUUUGUCUUAUCAGGAUCAGUGAAGAGCAGUUCGGCCAACAAAACUGUGAUGCCCCCAGCACGUCAUGGCUAAUGCGAUUACUGGAGCUUUAAAGAUAAACAAAUAUAUCGUGCUUUCUGAUGCAGUCCUGCAAAAUUGACCAUAGCCACCGCCUCACCUUCUUCAUUAAACCUCCUCUUCCUUUUUCCGCAAAACCUCACCUCAUCAUUCAUUCCCUUGGCUGCAACACCAAGACUCGCUGCAACCUUUGCUGGCGAUGUGCCCCCCUCCCGCCAGCUGCUCGUGCCACCCCGCCAUCCUCAAGCCGCCCCCAUCGACUCAUCGCAGGUUGAUGAACGACCGGCCACAACCAGGAACCGCAUCAACACUUGCUUUGGACUAGAGGCAAAUAAAUUGUCUUCCCUUUUAUGCUACGGUGGAAAAUGGGAGUAUAAAAAGGGCAGCCGCUAACUCCUUCCUCUUCAUUUUUCACGGCCUCACCUUCUUCAUUAAACCUCCUCUUCCUUUUUCCGCAACAACCUCACCUCAUCAUUCAUUCCCUUGGCUGCAACACCAAGACUCGCUGCCACCUUUGCUGGCGACGUGCCCUCCUCCCGCCAGCUGCUCGUGCCACCCCGCCAUCCUCAAGCCGCCCCAUCGACUCAUCGCAGAUUGAUGAACGACCGGCCACAACCGAGAACCGCAUCAACACUUGCUUUGGACUAGAGGCAAAUAAAUUGUCUUCCCUUUUAUGCUUCAUAGGUUGAUGUCUGUACAUCGAGGUUGAUUUCCUCAAGAGUUUUGAUCGUCCUAGUUGAUUUUGUACCUAGAUGUGUUAGUCAACGGUUUCGAAGAAGACGCAUUACAAGUAUUGUUGAAAAUGUAGUUCAUUGAGUCUAUAGAUGUGUUGUUGGAAUGCUGCAUGUUCAGAUUUGUGCUAGCUUGAGCUUAAAUGGCACGAGUCGUGGACUAAGGCGAGGUUAUGACUAUUUUUGGUUGGGUUUACUGUAGACAGUGAUUUUGCCAAUUUUAUGCUGAUUUUUGUGGUACGAA